rnacentral:tmRNA from 1 species
GGGGGCGAACGGCUUCGACCGGAUGGCGGAGAGCCAAGUUGCAUGUCCAGGACGCCGGUUGGCCUGGCUAAUCAUCCGGCAAUAAAUUUAAUUGGCAACUCACAGUUGCGAAUGGCUGCUUAAUUUAGCGGCCCGUCCUGCCUGACUUUGCCUGUGGGUCUGGUAAGGGCGUCAAAUAGCAGGCUGGCCGAGCCGGUUGUUCGGGCCGGCUUCGGUAAGAACUCUCCGAAAUAGUCGAACCAACGGCCUGUCGUUUGGCGUUUGGCAAGGCGAAUGUGUAAUAAAGCGACUAAGCAUGUAGACGCUUGUCUUGAAACAUCUCGGGACGGGGGUUCGAAUCCCCCCGCCUCCAUUC